rnacentral:lncRNA from 1 species
UGGUUCAACAAGUGUAAUAUAAUUAACAUUAGCUAAUCAACAAGUUCAACCGUGAUACUUGAUUUACACAUCUCAGAAGGGGGAAAACGUGAAUUUGAGAUGAUGAAAAGUACAUUAUCCGCUCAGAAUCUCUUUCAAGUUUGUCAGUAAAAGUUCUUAACAAGGGCUAAGAUGGUGUAGAAUUAAUCUACACCAUGAGAAAAGAUAAACAAGUUCACAAAGAAAAGCCAGCACAAGAAGCAACUGGAGAAUAAACAAACACACUAAAACAAAUAUUUACAACCGAGCAUGAUCACCUACCAUCUGCUGAUGUGAAAGAAUCUGCAAAUCCAUAUGGGCGAGUAGGUAUACUUGUUUGUGUGUUAUCCAAGCUUGGUAGAAGUGAAGAUGAAGAAGAGGACUCCAUUUGACUUCUACCUUCAUAAGCCUGCCACUUUUUAAGUGCUUGAGGCAAGGACAUGUCAAGGUCAAUGCCAUAUAUAUCUUCAGAAUUCUGAUCGGAUGGUUUCCAGAGUUCAACAAGAGAAGAAAGCACGUUAACUGUAUGACCCAUGUCAGGCCUUUGAUAUGGCUCCCUGGCACAGCAGUGGCCAGCUAACUCUGCAACAGUGUGAAUACUGGCAAGAGUUUCCUCGUUGAGAUCAAUUGUGGAGUCAAUGGCCUUGCGGAAGGAGUCCUUAUUUAUGGACAUUCUCCGGAACCAUGUUACAAGGUGCAUACUAUCCUCGGGUUGAGUCUCAUCAAGUGCUUUUCUUCCUGUUAUCAGCUCCAUCAAUAUCACCCCAAAGCUGAACACGUCAACUUUAGUUGUCACACGGCCUGUCACUGUAAUCAAAUAGCCAUUUGCAUGACGGUGUUAGAGAUGCAUAGCUAAAAAUCAAUGAACAUUUAUACCACCAAGCAAGCAAGUCAGAUAGCAAACAUCCAACUAAUCCAAAUAAACCAUAUCUUCUGAAGACAAGAUAAAUCCAAUGGGAAAUUUACAUUUUGAAUACACAUUUAAAAACUAAUGCCUGAGAAGGAAAAUACUCAUUCGAUUUUUAUGCAUUAAACAUGAAUAACAUGGAUGUAGAGGCUUCAUUCUUGAGUCUUGAGUAGAGAGUAUUUACUUCAGUGAAUUGGUGUAAUGAUUGAAUGGUUACUUCAACUAACUUAAGUUGGUAAAUUAGCCAAAUACCGGGAGAGUUGGUUAGAUAGUGGAGACAACAAGAAGGUCAUAUUAGCUUCCUAGGAAGAAAUGAAAUGUCACUAGUAGCUCUUAAAGCAUCAUGGAUCCUAUCAGGAUAUAAAUAUGCUAAUUAAUCAAACUAGAGAUGCUAAUUAAUCAAACUAGAGUUUACUAAGAUAUACUAUUUCCAUGAAUACCAUAACAGGACACUCAGUCAUUGAUUUGAAAUAUAUUUAUUGCCUACUCUAUUCCAACUGUUUAUUUAAGAAACUGGCUAAACAUGGCAUUGUUCACAAAGCUAUGAUAUGUUGAAGGGAAGUUAUAAAACUAAGUGAUACCUGCGUAUUCUGGUGCCAAAUAUCCAAAAGUUCCUGCAAUUCUUGUUUCUAUAGAGGCUUUUCCUUCCGGAGCAAGACGCACAAGACCAAAAUCAGCAACCUUUGCCCUCAUAUCAUCUCCAAGGAGAAUGUUUGAAGGUUUUAAGUCCCUGUGUAUGAAGCUUUGAUGGGCCAAGCCAUGGAGGUACUCGACACCCCUUGCCACGUCUAAGGCAAUAGUCAAUCUUCUAUUCCACUCCAAUGGUUCCAGUCCUUCCUCUGGCCAGUUGAAAAGAUGCCUACUCAAUGUUCCUUGAGGCAUGUAUUCGUAUACAAGGAGCUUCUCAUUCCCGUCCAAACAGUAACCUAGAAGAGCCACAAGAUGUCGAUGACGAACUUUUGUCAAAACAGCAAUUUCAGACUUGAAUUCUACUGCACCCUUCCCUGUUAUUGCCCCACACUCCAUUCUUUUCACUGCUAUUCUUGUACCAUCAUGGAGGUCACCUCUAUAAACAGUUCCAAAACCUCCUUGUCCCAAUAUGUUCUUCUCACUGAAAUUGUCUGUAACAUUCCUUAGAACUUGAAUGGAAAUGACCAUGUUUCCGGCUUCAACCAUUUGGAUAUCUCCAGUCUCACUGCCAGGUAUGGUUCGUGUUUCACUAGCACCACCAACACUGACACUUGAACCUGCAACUGUUAUCUUCACACUCUCAUUAUCAGACCCAGAAUGCCUAGGAUGAAUAACUAGAGCAUUUGGGCUCUGGACCCUGCUCAACUUAUUUUGCUUCAUCCUAAACAGGCAGAAAACCAGGAAACCAAUCAUAGAAACCACAAAAACCGCCCCAAUCACUGAAAACACGAUCACUCCCACAUGGGAAGACUUUUUGCCACCAUUUUCAGAACCCCCAUCGUUUUCUCCCUUUGAAUCGGGAGCCGUUGGAGACAUUGAACCCUGAGGGGACUGGCUACUCUUAUCCUUCCCUAUAUCAACAUUACCAUUAGUACUCACAACUACAUUACUCCUAAAACUCGGCACCUUCCCAUAAAGCUGAUUGUUCGCAACAUUCAAUAGACUAAGCCGAGGCAAAGUAGUAAGCUCUACUGGAAUUGAACCAGUGAGAUUGUUAUCCGCAAGUACUAUUCUUUGCAAAGAUUCAAUCUUUGAAAAGUCUGGGGAUAUCUCACCACUAAGUUGCAUCUUCUGAAAAUUAACAACAGUUAUAUUCCCAUCUCCACAAGCAAUUCCAAUCCAAUCAGCACAGGGAUCAUUCCCCUUCCAACCCUCGGCAAACCUUUGAGGAUACCCCAUAAGCCCAAUAACAGAAAGAAGAACCUGCACCCUGGAAUCACAAUCACCAGGUCCUGACAAACAAAAACUGUUGGAAUCCUUAUCGUUAUCCACCUCAACUCCAUUGCCAAACACCGGCAUAGGACCCUGAAACAAGUUAUUAGUCAAGUUCACAACUUCAAGUGUCUUGAGACCCACCAACGAAGGCGGGACAGGACCCGUAAACCUGUUAUCCCUCAAACUCAAAACCUUCAAACUCUUCAAUCCGGACAAAUCAGGCAAUGGACCCGUAAAAGCAUUGGAGUGCAACCAAACCUCCGUCAAGAAAGUCAUGUUCUGCAAAACAGCAACACUGCCACCGAGCCUGUUAACGCUCUUCUGCCCAUUCAACCACAAAGACUGAAUCUGAGAGCCAGAAAAGCUCAAAGGCAACGUCCCCUCGAGGUUGUUGAUGGCCAAGUGCAAAACCGUCAAACCAGGAAACACGUCGGAGCUGAAGAAAUCCGGCAAAGUGCCUCUGACAUUGGCAGAGUUGGCGGAGAAGUUCUGAAGCACAGAAGCGUUUCGGAGAGUCUGAGGGAUCUCCCAGGGCUCAAAGGGGUUGUUGUCGAUCUCCACCGCCUGGAGCUGCGACAUGCCGGCGAAGAAGUCGGCGGGGACGGCGGAGAAGCGGUUGUUGCUGGCAAUGAAGACACGGAGGUUGGUCAAGCCGUUAAGAGAGGGAAUGGGACCCGAGAUGUUGUUGUAUUGGAGCUCCAACUGUUCCAACUGGGUCAAGUUCUGAAGAGUUGCAGGGAGAGUACCCUGGAGAUUGAGGCGGCCGAUUUGGAUCCGGGUGACCCGUUUAUCUUCAGAGCACCUGACAUGGUCCCACUUGCAUGGGUCCGGGCCGGUCCAUCCCGGCGGGUUGAGGCUGUUCUUGAGAGCCAGCAUUACCGAAACAUCGUCCUGGGAGUUGGCGAAAAAGGUCAUCAUGGUUAAGAAAAUGAAAAAGGGUAGAGGAUUUGGAAAGUAGGUGGUGGUGGUGGUGGUGGUUGUUCUGGUCACCAUGGUGAUGUGGUUCUGGUCCGUUGGCCGUGUGGGAGAAGGUAAUGUGAUGUGAUGUGAGGGAAAGCAUAGAAAUUAGAAAAGAAAGUGUUUUGUUUGUUGAGUUUGGGUUUGGGAGUUGAAAUGAGAAGGGAACGGGGAAGAAGGAGAAACGCACAUGGCAGUGGGCCCCAGGUAUCUGGCUGUCGUGACCAUUGCUGAGUGAGUGAGUGAGAGACUCACCAAGUGAAGCUCUCAUGCAUGGCCCAUCAUCAUCAUCAUCAUCAUCUGCAUCUUAUUAUUUUUCUAAUACUAAUCUUAAUAUUAAUCAUUACAAAUAAAUUAUACAUUUUUUAUUUAUUUAAAAUAAUGAAGUUCCAUUUUUGUAUACAUUAAAAAAAGGAAAAGUUCGGCUCUACGGUAAGGCAAUCACAUGCAAAUAUGGGCUAAUGUAUUAAUGGUUGGCAAGAGAAAAACCAGGUCCAGCUGUUCUCCCAGGUUUUCAGACAUGUCUGUUCUCCUAUAAACUCAUUUAUCGUUUAUUUAUUUUUAUUUUAUUUCAUCUAUUAAAUAUGUGAAGUUUGUUGUUUUGAGCUUCAUGUUAAUGGUCCAAAUAAAACAAAAGAGUUUUCCCAAGUGUUUAUUUGUUAUUUAUAUUUGAAGAGCAUAAUUAUAACAGUUAAGGCUGAGAAAGACAUAGGUUGUUGAUAACCCCACAAACAAAACAAAAAAAAAAAAGUGAUGGGAAUGGAAGAAAUAAAAUAAGAAUGGAAGCAGCAGAUCAUAAAGUUUUGAGUUUAUGAUUGUUGUGUUGUGCUCUGAUGUCUUAGCUGGAGGGUAUAUAUAUUAAUAACCCUUGCUAAUGAGGGAAGAGGGACUUUAAAUGAUUUUUAAUCUUUUUUUAGUAACUAAUAAUGACACAAAGAAACUUUUUUUAAUGCCUCUUGUUAGAGAUGUCAAACCAUAGGUAGGUACGUACCUAUCACCCAUAUUUUAAUUUUCAUCUUUACAUUUACGUUUUCUAACGCAAUUUAUAUUUAUAUUAGUUAAUCUAAAACAUUUUGUUAUAUAUGUCGAUAUUUUAUGUAAGAAAAAAAUCAAGUACUUAUUAUUUGAGUUAAGCUUAAACUUAAUGUAAUAAAUAUAUAUAUUAGUUUGUGAGGUUGAAUUACUCUAAACAUUUUCAUAAUUUUUUUUAGUUUAUGUUCAUUUCAAUGGAUGUGAUUGUUCAAGCAUAAUUUUAGAGAGACGGAUUUACAGGAUAAUUCGUGUUCACUUUCAUGAAUUUAAAAAGAAGGAAGAGAGAAGAUUUGUGGGAAACAUUGCAUUUUUUUAUUUAUGCUGAUGAGAAGGAAUUUGCGUUGAUUUUAUGAAAAAUCCAUUACAUGGUGAUGCAGAGAAAUGGGGAUGAGUGCUCUCUUUGUUUUUUUUACUUUAUAAUUUAUCAUCAGUUUAUUCCAUUUUUAUUGAGGAAUUAAAAUACAUUAAAUUAAAAUAAUUUUUUAAUUUAAAAUGGUUUGUUUUUUUAAUUACUUUAUUCGGUUAAACUAUUUCAUAUAUGAGUAUUGAAUAAAAUGAUACUUUAUUCUUAAAAAAAUAUAUUUUAAAUAUAAUUAUUUAAUUUUACAUAAAUAAUUUUUUUUUAGAAAAUAAUUUUGAUUUUUUCUUCUUUAUAAUAUUUUUUAUCAAUAAAUAUAUUAUUAAUAAAUAUAAUUUUAUAUUAUUUUUAUCACAAAGAAUAUUUUGGUGAUUUUCAAUUUCUACCAAUUAAACAAUUUUUUUUAUUUGUCACAUCAAUCAAAUUCUACACUAAUUGUGACAAACUUUACUCCUAAAUUCACUCUCACUUACAUCCAAAUCCACUCAAAUGAACAAUAAAAAAUUUAUCCUCAAAUUUCCUCAAAUCAUUUCAUUCACUUUCCCCAAAUCAUCUCCUCCAAGUGAACAAAACCUAAGCGUCAGUCCUCUUCUUCGUUCCACCGUCUGGUUAUUCCCUUGAGUCCUCUUCUUCGUUACACCGUCCAGAGGUGUACCUGCCAAAGGUUGUCCGAUGCUUAAGUCAGUUGAUUGUCGGUAUGGGAGUUCAAUGACACAAUAAUAAAUGUGCAGUAAAUGCGAAUAACCUACCUUACAUAUAUUUAUAGUUUUUGUCAUAGGCUUGAGAUUAAUGAAAUCUUAAUUAGGCUCAAUCAUAGCCCAAUACCUCUAAUCAUUAUUUACCUUAAUCUUUAUAUGAGCACUUAAUUAUGGACUUUCACCGACCGUUCAUCCUCAACCGUCCGAUUAGAUUGAUCACAGAGUGACUUUAUGGUCGUUUGGUCCAUAUGGUAAUAUAUAUAUAUAUAUAUAUAUAUAUAUAUAUAUAUAUAUAUAUAUCACAAACAUUCUUCUUUACGUGAACAAUAAAGAGCAACUACAACACGCCUUUUGUUUUAUUUAGUUUGAUGACGUUUUUGUUGUUAAUUGUUUGCUACAAAAUGGCUAAUAUGUAUCUUUCUCACUUGAUUUAUUGAAAUAAAAGCACUUAAUUAUCAUUUUUCUUCAAGACAUGUAGGGUGUAUGUAACUUCACUACCUAAGCAUUUCGGUAAGUUGAGUACUAUAUUUUCACUCUAAAUCAUUGUUGACAUAUUUUUCCAUUAAAGUCUGGAAUUGUGCAUGAAAAUUUGUUGUUUGCGUAGUCAUAAAUUCACUUUCUAAUUUUGGCUUCAAUGAACUCUAUUUCUAGACGUUUUAUAAUUGGAAGAAGUAGUUUGCCUCUUUGUCUUUCUAUUUGAUACAUGUUGUUGUAUGGUAAUUAAUAUCUCUUAUAUUUGUUGAAUACAUAGGAUUUAAAUUCGAAGAGAAUUUCUUUGUUAUAACUAUCACCCACUUUGUAAUAUUGAUGUUUUUAUGGAUGGUUUCAAUUGAAGGUAAUUAAUUUGCAAUGGUCCACAUUCCUUAGUGCAAAACAACUCUAAAACCUUGUUGGUAUGGAAGGGUUUUUCCUUAAAAAAGAUUCUCUUUCUUCCAAUGAAUCCUAGAUGUAUUUUCCCCUUUUAUUAUGUGAUAACAUAUAGAUAAUUUAGACAUGGUUACAAUAAAUAUAAUUCAACAUUGUUGAAAGAAUUUGAUUUGCAAUUUCAUGUUUAGCAUCAAUGAUGUUUUAGACCAGGAUUUCUAUUAUCUACUUUUUUCCCUUUUGUGUUUGUUUUUCUCUUUUCAAUCGAACUUUUCUUUACACAUGAAGCUAGUUGUAAUAUUUAAAUUAUUUUAUGACUAGCAAAUAACUAAAGUAAUUUUAGUUAAUAAUUGCAAUAUUAGUUUUAAAUUAAUAACGUUAUAGGAUUAACUGUAUGUUUGGAUUUUGUUAGUUUUUACAAGGACAUUUAGGAAAGAAAAAUAUGAACAUAAAAAAGAGAAUACGAAAAACGAUACACUUUUUAAAUGAAACACUUUUUGUGUCAAAUAAAGUGAUUUGCGAAAAAAGUAUAUAUAAUUUCAGUUAUGUUAAUCCAGUAAUCGAUUAUGAUUGUUAUUUAUGUAUCCCUUUAUAUGUAUAUAUGUAGUAAUGAAAACAACAACUUUUUUAUGAUAAUAAAAAAUAAUAAAAUUAUUAUUAUUCUCAUUAUUAUUAUUGUAAAAUUAAAUAUAAACAAUUUUUAUAAUUUUAUUGUAAGUAGUUUUUGUUUAUAUUAUAAGUAAAUCUUGAUUAAAAAAAAAUAAAAGUCAAAUAAAAAAGACAAACACCUUACCAUCUUAUUCAAAGAAUGUCUAUUUUAACAUUCAGCGACUCUGUUUUGAUGGGGUGUGUAGGUUGUGAUAAGUUUUCGUUUUAUACCAUUUUCAUCACAAAACGAUUUGAACACAAGAAAAUUAAACUCUCCUCCUCUAUCUGUUCGAAGACAUUUGAUGAACGCUCUGACUUCUUUUUCCACCAUGUUUUUGUAUGACUUGACACAUUCCAAAGCUUUAGAUUUUUUUUUUUUUGAAAGCAAAUACACACCCAACCUUUACGGCUAUAAUCAUCAAUGAAGCUUAAAAAAUAUUGUUUUCCACUAUUGGAGACGGGUUCUAUGGGUCCACAAAUAUCUGCAUGUAUGAGCUCCAAGGUGGUGUUGUCAUGCCAUUUGCUUGUCUUGAGAAUUGGAGUUCGUGUUGUUUGUUAGUGAAACAGUCAAGACAUACAACACCAGAGGAAUCAAGUGUCGGUAAACCAUGUACCAUGUUCAGUAUUUGCAGAGUCUUCAAGUCUUUGUAGUGUAGGUGACCAAACCUCUGAUGCCAAAGAUGAGUGAGAUCAGAUGAAGUAUGUAAACAUUCUUUAGUAGAAGAAGGAGUGAUGAAACUUUCAUCAAAUACAAUGAACAUACGAUUUGUGCUCAUGUUUGUGUGAGCAAUCAAACCUUUAGAUGGAUGAUAAAUAUUGCAUUCUCCAUUUUGCAUGAGAAUGGAAAGACCAUUUUCUUGCAACUGGCCAAUGCUUAACAAAUUUUGUGAAGUUCAGGGACAUAAUAUACAUCUUGUAGUAGAAAAGUAGUGCCAUUAAAGACUAAUCUGACACUUCCUGUGCCAACAACAAUCAUUUGAGAGUCAUUACCACAUUUGAUAAAAUGUUUAGCCUCAGACACAAAUUUGACGAAAGCACCUUUAUCACCACACAUGUGAUUAGAACACCCGGAAUCCAAAAACCAUGCGACCUUCUUGUUGACUCCUUUAUCGAUGGUAGCCAUCAAGAGCAAAUCUUUUACGUCAUCUACUUCUGCAUAAUUUGCUUCUUUUUGCCAUUGCGGACAUUCAUAGUGGAAAUGACCCAAUUUGUGGCACUUGAAACAUUCCACAUUUGUUUUUGAGAAAGGUUGUCUUCCUCUACCAUGUUCAUAACCUUGGUUGGACCCUCUACCUCUUCCUCGACCUCUGCCUCGACUACUUUAUGACAUCAAUACUUUCUCAUCAUUUCAGGUGAUUCGUUUAAACUUUUGCUCAUGGAUAGCCAAGGAAUUUUGUAGUUUGUCAAUGGACAUGGUCUUUGUGUCAUGUGAUUCCUCAAUCAAGACCACCACAUAAGUGAAACAAUCUAUCAAAGUGCGAAGUAUUAUUUCAACCACCUUGGAGUCAGGCAUAUUUUCUCCAAUGUUGCGCAUCUUGUUGGCCACUAUCAUUACCCUGGAAAAAUAUUUCAUGAUAGUUUCGGUUUCGAUCAUUCUUGCCCACCUUUUCACUGCUAUUCUUGUACCAUCAUGGAGCUCACCUCUAUAAACCGUUCCAAAACCUCCUUGUCUCAAUAUGUUCUUCUCACUGAAGUUGUCCGUGACAUUUCUCAGAACUUGUAUGGAAAUGACCAUGUUUUCGACUUCAACCAUUUGGAUAUCUCCUACCUCACUACUAGGUAUAGUUCACGUUUCAUAGUUCCACCAAACUUGCAUACUCAGGUGCCAAGUAUCCAAAAGUUCCUACAAUUCUUGUCUCUAUAAAGGGUUUUCCUUCUCGAGCAAGACGCACAAGACAAAAAUCAGCAACCUUCGCCCUCAUAUAAUCUUCAAGGAGAAUGUUUGAAGGUUUUAAGUCCCUGUGUAUGAAGCUUUGAUGGGUGAAUCCAUGGAGGUACUCGACACCCCUAGCCACAUCUAAGGCAAUCUUCAAUCUUCUGAUCCACUCUAGUGGUUCCAGUCCUUCCUCUGGCCAGUUGAAAAGAUGCCUACUCAACGUUCUUUAAGGCAUGUUCUCAAACACAAGCAACUUCUCAUUCCCGUCCAAGCAGUAACCUAGAAGAGUCACAAGAUGCCGGUGGCGAACUUUUAUCAAAACAACAAUUUCAUACUUGAAUUUUGUUGCACCCAUCCCUGUUAUUGCCCCCACACUCCAUUCUUUUCACUACUAUUCUUUUACCAUUAUGGAGCUCACCUCUAUAAACAGUUCCAAAACCUCCUUGUCCCAAUAUGUUCUUCUCACUGAAGGUUUCCGUGACAUUCCUCAGAACUUGUAUGGAAAUGAUCAUGUUUCCGACUUUAACCAUUUGGAUAUCUCCUGCCUCAUUGCUAGGUAUUGUUCGACUUUAACCAACACUGACACUUUGUUGUUUUUACUGAUAAGUUGCAGCUUGUGUAUCAGGCACCGUGAAGCUCUGAUACCAGUUUGAAGAGUAUAUGAAUAUUCUGGUGCAAAACUGUGUGAAACUGUGCUACUUUAUUUCUUCAAAAUAUGUUAUUAUAUAGCCAAAAAAAAUACAUAAAACUUAGUCCACGUAUAAAUUAUGUGACCAUGUUCAAAACAAACUAUUAUUAAAAUAAAUCAUGAUAUAUAGGAAUGAUCUUAUUUUGAGGAAUAGUUUGUUUCGAACAUGGUCACGUAAGUUAUAUGUGGACUAAGUUUUAUGUAUUCUGUUUGGCUAUAUAAUAGCCUAAUUAAUCAAACUAGAUUUUUCUAAGGUAUACUAUUCCCAUGAAUACCAUAAUAGAACACUUGGUCAUUUUGACUUGAAAUAUAUUUAUUGCCUACUCUAUUCCAACUAUUUAUUUGAGAACUGACUCAAUACGACAUUGCUCACAAAGACAUGGUGUGGUGAAGGGAAGUUAUACAACUAAGUGAUACCUGCAUACUCAAGUGCGAAUUAUCCAAAAGUUCCUACAAUUUUGUCUCUAUAGAGGGUUUACCUUCUGGAGCAAGACGCACAAGACCAAAAUCAGCAACCUUUGCCCUCAUAUCAUCUCCAAGGAGAACGUUUGAAGACUUCAGCUCCCUGUGUAUGAAGCUUUGAUGGGCCAAAUCAUGGAGGUACUCGACACCCCUUGCCACAUAUAAGGCCAUCGUCAAUCUUCUGUUCCACUCUAGUGGUUCCAAUCCUUCUUCUGACCAGUUAAAAAGAUGCCUACUCAACGUUCCUUAAGGCAUGUUCUCAAACAUAAGCAACUUAUCAUUCCCGUCCAAACAGUAACCUAGAAGAGUCACAAGAUGUCGGUGGCGAACUUUUGUCAAAACAACAAUUUCAUACUUGAAUUAUGUUGCACCCAUCCCUGUUAUUGCCCCACACUCCAUUCUUUUCACUACUAUUCUUAUACCAUUGUGGAGCUCACCUCUAUAAACCGUUCAAAAACCUCCUUGUCCUAAUAUGUUCUUUUCACUGAAGUUGUCCGUGACAUUCCUCAGAACUUGUAUGGAAAUGACCAUGUUUCCAGCUUCAACCAUUUGGAUAUCUCGUGCCUCACUGCUAGGUAUUGUUCGCGUUUCAUUGGUUCCUCCACCACUGACACUUUGUUGUUUUCACUGAUAAGUUGAAGCCUGUGUAUGAGGCCCCGUGGAGCUCUGAUAACAGUUUGAAGAGUAUAUGAAUAUUCCAGUGCAAAACUGUGCAAAAUUGUACUACUUUAUUUCGUCAAAAUAGGCUAUUAUAUACUUGUAUGUGUGUUAUCCAAGCUUGGUAGAAGCGAAGAUGAAGAAGAGGACUCCAUUUGACUUCUACCUUCAUAAGCCUGCCACUUCUUAAGUGCUUGUGGCAAGGACAUGUCAAGGUCAAUGCCAUAUAUAUCUUCAGAAUUCUGAUAAGAUAGUUUCUAGAGUUCAAUCAGAGAAGAAAGCACGUUAACAGUAUGAGCCAUGUCAGGCCUUUGAAAUGGCUCCCUGGCACAACAGUGGCCAAUUAACUCUCCAACAGUGUGAAUACUGGCAAGAGUUUCCUCAUUUAGAUCAUUUGCAGAGUCAAUGGCUUUGCAGAAUGAGUCUUUAUUUAUGGACAUUCUGCGGAACCAUGUUACAAGGUGCAUGCUAUCCUCGGGUUGAGUCUCAUCAAGUGCUUUUCUUCCUGUUAUCAGCUCCAUCAAUAUCACCCCAAAGCUGAACACGUCAACUUUAAUUGUCACAUGGCCAGUCACUACAAUCAAAUAACUCCACCAACACUAACACUUUGUGGUUUUCAUUGAUAAGCAGUAGCUUGUGUAUCAGGCCCUAUGGAGCUCUGAUACUAGUUUGAAGAGUAUAUGAAUAUUCUAGUGCAAAACUGUGCAAAAUUGUGCUACUUUAUUUCGUUAAAAUAGGUUAUUAUAUACUUGUAUGUGUGUUAUCCAAGCUUGGUAGAAGCGAAGAUGAAGAAGAGGACUUGAUUUGACAUCUACCUUCAUAAGUCUGCCACUUCUUAAAUGCUUGUGGCAAAGACAUGUAAAGGUCAAUGCCAUAUAUAUCUUCAGAAUUCUGAUCAGAUGGUUUCGAGAGUUGAACGAGAGAAGAAAGCACGUUAACAGUAUGAGCCAUGUCAGGCCUUUGAAAUGGCUCCCUGGCACAACAGUGGCCAGCUACCUCUCCAACAGUGUGAAUACUGGCAAGAGUUUCCUCAUUGAGAUCAUUUGCAGAGUUAAUGGCCUUGUCGAAUGAGUAUUUAUUUAUGGACAUUCUGCGGAACCAUGUUACAAGGUGCAUGCUAUCCUCGGGUUGAGUCUCAUCGAGUGCUUUUCUUCCUGUUAUCAGCUCCAUCAAUAUCACUCCAAAGUUGAACACGUCAACUUUAGUUGUCACACGG